UUUAGAGAUCCACAGAAAUCAUUUGGAGCCUAAGGCAGGGACCACAGAGGACAGUAUGGGGAGUGCAGUCAUUUGAUUCAUCUGGAAAGGCCUACAGUAGUCGUCCUCUGCCCAGAGUCACACAGAGCGUGAGGAAUGGAGCAGAGGCUUGAACAUGGGCUGCAGGCGCCAGAACCUUUGUUCUUACCAAGAUGUUCACAGACUCCAUGGUAAGAUAAGUGUCAUCUCUCUCUUCUUGGAGCCGGAGGAGGAAACAGGCAUUAAACAAGCAAUGACAAACAGGAUGCGUCUUGCCAGCAAGACCUAAUCCCAUCUGGAGAAAGUGACGCUUAAGCUGAGGAUUGAGGGGGUGAUCUAGAUGCAAGAGAUGUCGGCCAGGUCUCUCGCCUGCAGGUUUGGGAGCAGGUCAAGGCAGGGCAUCUGUCUGUGUCUAAGCUUGGAUUCCCGCAGCAGGACCUAGCAUCUGGCCCCAAACAAAGUCUAGACAUAAGAUGGGUUGUUUUUUGACUCAGGUGAAAUAAAGAUACUUAAUUUCUUC